rnacentral:rRNA from 1 species
AGCUCCAAUAGCGUAUAUUAAAGUUGUUGCAGUUAAAAAGCUCGUAGUUGGAUUUCUGGUUUGAGCGUCCGGUCGAGUUUAUCUCUGUACUAUGGAUGUUUGGGCCAUUUUUUGUGAGGGGGCUUUUCUGCCAUUCAGUUGGUGGUUGAGUCGACUUGCAUCGUUUACUGUGAAAAAAUUAGAGUGUUUAAAGCAGCCGUUUGGUCAUUUGAAUACAUUAGCAUGGAAUAAUAAGAUACGACCUUGGUCUAUUUUGUUGGUUUGCACACCGAGGUAAUGAUUAAUAGGGACAGUUGGGGGUAUUCAUAUUUCAACGUCAGAGGUGAAAUUCUUGGAUCGUUGAAAGAUGAGCUUAGGCGAAAGCAUUUACCAAGGAUGUUUUCA